rnacentral:lncRNA from 1 species
AAUGGUUUUCUGUUCUGCUCCGUUACUUUUUACUGAAGGAUCACUGCAGAGAUGUGAGUCAUCGUCUUCCACAUGGUGCUUCGUUUCUUUGGGGCAGAAAAGUGAUUCCAACCAACCUGAUUGGACUUGGACCGGCCCUGUUCUUCUGGAUGCUUCUGAGAGAAAUGCCUAGAAUUGCCCUGCGAAUCAACAGUUAGGUGUUACAGUUUGUUGGAUUUUCCACAGGAAGACGUUUCCUCUUUUCCUGUGCCAGAAUACCCUUGCAUCCGAAAGGUGAGCUAAUUGCAGCCCUCAAUACUUAUUUGUUCGUUCAUUCAUUCAUUCAUUCAUUCAUUCAUUCAUUCAUUCAUUCAUUCAUUCAUUCAUUCAUUCAUUCAUUCAUUCAUUCAUUUUAUAUACCAACCAUCUAGUGGCUACACUCCCCUGGGCAGUUUACAAAUUUAAAACUCGGGACCCCACGUGGCUCCAAUGGCAAUACAUCAAUAUGGCGGUUCAGCAACAUAGAUCUGAAACUAAAACAAACAAAAACCACAAGAAAAGGGGGGAAAAGUUAAAUAUUAAUUUUAAUGGCAUCCAGGGGAUAAGUUACUGAUGUCAGCUUUGUAUAGUUCUGUCUUCACUAAUUUCCUGGAUGUCAACUGAAAGCUUAUUCCACAUCUUGGGGGCUACCACCAAGAAGGCUUGAUUCCUUGUUGUUAUCUUUUUGGCCUCCCUCAGUGUGGUCACUUUUCGCAGCCUGGAUUGAGAGGAGCAGGUGAGAAAGAUGCUCUGACAUGUAUUGAGGCCCUAAAUAUACCCCUCCCCAAGAAGGGAAAUUAAAAUGAGAUCCAGGUCUCAUUUUUACAGGAAGGCAAGGAUCCUUGCUUUGACAAGGAGAAAUCCUGGCAAGAAGUCUACACAUGGGAAGAAUGAGAAAAUGGCAAAGAAUGAGAAUUUCUUUCAGUAGUCUUCACGCCCCUAAUUUAAUGCACAUCUAUAACUGCAUGAUCUCUGAACAAAUAUCUUGCGAGAAAAGUAAUGGAAGGCAAUUGGAAAUAGCUGUGUAAAUGCCAAGGCAAU